AUUGAACGCUGGCGGCAGGCCUAACACAUGCAAGUCGAGCGGAUGAAGGGAGCUUGCUCCUGGAUUCAGCGGCGGACGGGUGAGUAAUGCCUAGGAAGCUGCCUGGUAGUGGGGGAUAACGUCCGGUAACGGGCGCUAAUACCGCAUACGUCCUGAGGGAGAAAGUGGGGGAUCCUCGGACCUCACGCUAUCAGAUGAGCCUACGUCGCAUUAGCUAGUUGGUGGGGUAAAGGCCUACCAAGGCGACGAUCCGUAACUGGUCUGAGAGGAUGAUCAGCCACACUGGAACUGAGACACGGUCCAGACUCCUACGGGAGGCAGCAGUGGGGAAUCUUCGACAAUGGGCGAAAGCCUGAUCCAGCCAUGCCGCGUGUGUGAUGAAGGUCUUCGGAUUGUAAAGCACUUUAAGUUGGGAGGAAGGGAAGUAAGUUAAUACCUUGCUGUCUUGACGUUACCAACAGAAUAAGCCCCGGCUAACUUCGUG
rnacentral:rRNA from 1 species